rnacentral:rRNA from 1 species
UACGUAGGGACCAAGCGUUGUUCGGAUUUACUGAGCGUAAAGGGCGCGUAGGCGGCGUGGUAAGUCACUUGUGAAAUCUCUGAGCUUAACUCAGAACGGCCAAGUGAUACUGCUGUGCUAGAGUGCAGAAGGGGCAAUCGGAAUUCUUGGUGUAGCGGUGAAAUGCGUAGAUAUCGAGAGGAACACCUGCGGCGAAGGCGGGUUGCUGGGCUGACACUGACGCUGAUGCGCGAAAGCCAGGGGAGCGAACGGG